CAGGGCACCACAGCUGUGCUGGGUGCAGUGGGUCUGUGCCACCUCUGUUGUCUGAGCACUGAGGGGCACAGGUCACAGCCCAUCUGCAUGGACAUGCUGCUCCCUAGGACCUAGGAUUUGGACUCUGAGUCCCAUCAACAGCUCCUGUUCCAACCUCGUGCCCUUCUGCCUGAAGCCUGAGCAGUGGAGCCAGGCCCCACCAUGGCCUGACCU
rnacentral:lncRNA from 1 species